CGACUCCAUGAAGCUGGAUUCGCUAGUAAUCGCGCAUCAGCCACGGCGCGGUGAAUACGUUCCCGGGCCUUGUACACACCGCCCGUCAAGCCAUGGAAGCCGGGAGUGCCUGAAGUACGCGACCGCAAGGAGCGUCCUAAGGUAAAACCGGUGACUGGGGCUAAGUCGUAACAAGGUAGC
rnacentral:rRNA from 1 species